GAUGGCUUGGUGGCUGUUCCAGUGUCCUCCAUAACUCUGUCCUGUCUACAGUUGGAGGCCUUAUGAUCUGCUGUUUAUGAGUGUGAAUGUAUACUCAUAACAUAAAACAUUAUCUUCCUUGGUCUGAUUGCCAUGCUGAGGUGCAGCUUAUUCACAAACAGUACAGAUCUAAAGAUCACCUGGUCCACUUGAGGAGAGACUGGACAGUGUGUAACAAAUCCUGUUAAGGAAUACAAUCUCAAGUCUGCUAGCAUCUUAGUUUGGGUUUCUACUGUUGUGAUAAACCACCACGACCAAAAGCAACUGAGGAGGAAGAGGUUUAUUUCAACUUCUGCUUUCCAGCUAACAGUCCAUUGCUAAAGGAAAUGGGGCGGGAGCUCAUGACCCAACCUGGAGGCAGAAUGCAGACACUACGGAAGAAUGCUAAUUACUAAUUCACUCCUUUUGGGGGAAAGACUUAAUGUGAGAGAGACACAAGCUCACAGCAGAAAGAAUUUAUCAAGCAGGUACUUGGAAGUAAAGUGUCUGUGGUAUACAUAGUAUGGACUUUUUCUCAAUUUCUUUUACAAAUUAUUUAAUAAAUACCACACUUCAUACAAA